AACGCUAGCUACAGGCUUAACACAUGCAAGUCGAGGGGCAUCAGUUUGGUUUGCUUGCAAACCAAAGCUGGCGACCGGCGCACGGGUGAGUAACACGUAUCCAACCUGCCUCAUACUCGGGGAUAGCCUUUCGAAAGAAAGAUUAAUAUCCGAUAGCAUAUAUUUCCCGCAUGGGUUUUAUAUUAAAGAAAUUCGGUAUGAGAUGGGGAUGCGUUCCAUUAGUUUGUUGGGGGGGUAACGGCCCACCAAGACUACGAUGGAUAGGGGUUCUGAGAGGAAGGUCCCCCACAUUGGAACUGAGACACGGUCCAAACUCCUACGGGAGGCAGCAGUGAGGAAUAUUGGUCAAUGGACGCGAGUCUGAACCAGCCAAGUAGCGCGAAGGAUGACUGCCCUAUGGGUUGUAAACUUCUUUUAUAUGGGAAUAAAGUUGUCCACGUGUGGAUUUUUGUAUGUACCAUAUGAAUAAGGAUCGGCUAACUCCGUGCCAGCAGCCGCGGUAAUACGGAGGAUCCGAGCGUUAUCCGGAUUUAUUGGGUUUAAAGGGAGCGUAGGCGGAUUGUUAAGUCAGUUGUGAAAGUUUGCGGCUCAACCGUAAAAUUGCAGUUGAUACUGGCAGUCUUGAGUGCAGUAGAGGUGGGCGGAAUUCGUGGUGUAGCGGUGAAAUGCUUAGAUAUCACGAAGAACUCCGAUUG
rnacentral:rRNA from 1 species